GGCUGGUCCCUCGAGGGACUGUCAUGGGCUCGCUUUUGGGAAAGGUGCUGUGUUUACAGUUGAGCCUGGAUGAUCGUGUUGUUGCCGUGUGUGCUGGAAACAAAAUAUUCAUGCUGGAUAUUGAGACUCAGGCUGUCCGGGCCGAGCUGCAGGGCCACCUGGGCCCGGUGACUGCGGUGGAGUUCUGUCCCUGGCGAGCAGGCACCCUCAUCUCGGCGUCCGAGGACAGAGGCUUUAAGGUCUGGGACCAUUGUACAGGAUCAUUAAUAUACAGUUCAUCUGUGUUAUCAGCAUAUCCUCUUCUCAGUUUAUUCAUUGAUGCAGAAAGCAGGCAGCUGGUCACCGGGUGUGCUGACGGCCAGGUGAGACAGCCACAGAGUUAAGUUCCAGUUCCCAGACAUGCCUGAACGUGAGCUUGUACACAAAGGUCUUUGUCUUCAUGCUACUUUGUAUUUUCCUGCGAUUUGAAAAAGCCUGUCCACCUCAGUGCUGAGAACGUGACCUUCUGUGGGUCUCAGCGUCACUGUGGGUUCAAUAUGGUCCUGGGCCCCCUGGUCUGCGGAGGAGCUGGGUCUGCAUGUCCCAGAGCUCCAUGCGUGGUUCUGGAGUGCAGCAAAAGUGAGGGCCACUCAGGUGACCCUGAAAACCUGACGAGAAGAGGGCUGUGAGCAGACGUCCCCCGCUCCCACGGGUGCUGCCCGCGCCCCAGAGAGGCUCCCAGGAUGGCUCCUGUGUGGCAUCCCCCGUACCCGCACGCUGCCCGCGCCCCGGAGAGGCGCCCUGGACGGCUCCUGUGUGGCAUCCCCCGUGCCCGCACGCUGCCCGCGCGCCGGAGAGGCGCCCUGGACGGCUCCUGUGUGGCAUCCCCCGUGCCCGCAUGCUGCCCGCGCCCCGGAGAGGCGCCCUGGAUGGCUCCUGUGUGGCAUCCCCCAUGCCCGCACGCUGCCCGCGCCCCGGAGAGGCGCCCUGGAUGGCUCCUGUGUGGCAUCCCCCGUGCUCCUUGUGCUCCCCUUUCCUGUCAGCUUUACACACUAUUGAAAAACCUGAAGAUGUUGGCCUUUUUCAAAACAUUUUUUAGGUGAGCAUUUUAAGUUCAUUUCACAAAGCCUGGAUAAAGUUUCUGUUUUUAUAAUUUGAAAAAGAUAAUUUUGAAAACUUAGAUUUUUUUUUUUCCUUUUGACAAAGUUGACUGCUGUUGCCCUUGUCUUCUCACCCAGGGCAUGUGGGACGUGCUCUUGGCUGUGAAGCUGUGGGGUGUGUGCAGAGAGCCUGGGGCCUGGGGUUCCCGGAGGAGCAUCUUGGGGAGGCCUGCACAGUAGGAUCCUGCCUGUGUGCCCUGAGCUGAUGUGCCAGCCGUGUGAAAGUGCUCUGACACCGUGGGCCGUAUGGAGGGCCUCCAGGGGGGAUGUUGAAGGCAGGAGACAGCUGUGCCGGGAGCCUCUGCAGGCCGUGGAGGGCACGUCCUGUGACGUGUCUGCCCUCACUGCUCCACCUCUGGUGUUGCUGCUUCUGCGUCAGGACCCUUGCUGCAGCGCCAUGUCUGCAUCUUCUUUGCUUUUGUAGC
rnacentral:sRNA from 1 species